GAUGAAAUUCAAAUAUCCAGUUGGAGAGAAUACUCUUUUCUUAUGAUAUUAUAACAGACACUAAAUUGUGGAAAUUUUUUAUUGAUAUAAAACAAAACCACUGAUAAUAGAGAUACACUUGAUACACUAUUGUUGCUGUAAAACUUAAACAUUGAAGAAUGAAGUGUGGUACAGUGUACAAGUACGUAGAGAAGAAGAUAGGAAGUGUGUUUGAGAGGUACGGCUGAUUUGUUGCUGCACAUGCCUGGAAGGUACUCAUUGUCUCCAUUGUUGUUAAUGCUGGGCUAGGGAUUGGUAUGAUAAAGUUGGAUAUAGAUAAUGAUGCCAGAAAUUACCUCCCUUCAGGGAGUCAAGAGGAAAUUGACCAGAAAAAGAUCGAGACUCUCUUUCCAUAUUGUGAUUAUGAGAACUUUGAUGCUCUGCGAGUCACAAGCGAAGGUCCAUGGCUACGGAUCAUCGUGAAGAGUAAAGAUGGCAAUUUGUUAACGAGACCUGUGCUGGAGGAACUGCAAUCAUUUUAUAAUCACCUAUAUAAUAUCAGUGUUGAAGAAGAUUUUGAAAGAUUUGACAGGAGGAUAGGUAGAUUAGACAAUCGUACAGACAACUACACAAAGGUCAUCUCGGAUGAAAAACUAGGUCACAGGAGCUAAAAAUAGAAAACCUUGUUAACGCUCUAGAGGUCACAUUUUUGCCUCAAUCAUCAUCAAACUUUAUCAGGAUGCUUGUCUACAUGAUAGCUUGGAUGAGUUUGAACAUGGGUCAUCUCAGAUGAAAAACUAGGUCACCAGAGCUAAAAAUAUAAAAACCUUGUUAACACUCUAGCGGUCACAUUUUUGCCUCAAUCAUCAUCAAACUUGGUCAGAAUGCUUGUCUAGGUGAUAGCUCGGAUGAGUUCGAACAUGGGUCAUCUGGGAUGAAAAACAAGGUCACCAGAGCUAAAAAAAGAAAAAAACCUUGUUAACACUCUAGCGGUCACAUUUUUGCCGCCAUCAUCAUCAAACUUGGUCAGAAUGCUUGUCUAGGUGAUAGCUCGGAUGAGUUCGAACAUGGGUCAUCUCGGAUGAAAAACUAGGUCACUGAAGAUAAAAAUAGAAAUUUUUUGUUAACACUCUAGCGGUCACAUAUCAUCAAACUUGGUCAGGAUGCUUGUCUUGGUGAUAGUUCGGUUGAGUUUGAACAUAGGUCAUCUUGGAUGAAAAACUAGGUCACCGGAGCUUAAAAUAGAAAAACAAUGUUAACACUCUAGCGGUCACUUUUUUGCCGCAAUCAUCAUCAAACUUAGUCAGGAUGCUUGUCUAGGUGAUAGCUCGGAUGAGUUCGAACAUGGGUCAUCUCGGAUGAAAAACUAAGUCACUGAAGAUAAAAAUAGAAAAACUUUGUUAACACUCUAGCGGUCACAUAUCAUCAAACUUGGUCAGGAUGCUUGUCUUGGUGAUAGCUCGGAUGAGUUUGAACAUGGGUCAUCUCGGAUGAAAAACUAGGUCACCGGAGCUAAAUAGAAAAACCUUGUUAAGACUCUAGGGGUCACAUUUUUGACUCAAGUGUCAUCAAACUUGGUCAGGAUGCUUGUCUAGGUAAUUGCUGGGAUAAUUUUGAACAUGGGUCAUCUCGGAUGAAAAACUAGAUCACCGGAGCUAAAAAUGACAUUCUAUUGUCCAAAUAUCCUGUAAAUUGGUCUGAAAGUUUGUUUUGAUUAUUUCUAGGUCAAGUUCAAAUAUGGGUCACCUGGGGGUCAAAGACUAGGUCACACUGCCCAAAUAUACAAAAAAAACUUGUUAACAUUCUAGUGGUCACAUUUUUGACUCAAUUAUCAUCAAACUUGGUCAGGAUUCUUGUCUAGGUGAUAGCUUGGAUGAGCUAGAACAUGGGUCAUCUCAGAUGAAAAACUAGGUCACCAGAGCUUAAAAUAGAAAAAACCUUGUUAUCACUCUAGCGGUCACAUUUUUGGCUCAAUCAUCAUCAAACUUGGUCAGGAUUCUUGUCUAGGUGAAAGCUUGGAUGAGCUCGAACAUGGGUCAUCUCAGAUGAAAGACUAGGUCACCAGAGCUUAAAAUAGAAAAAACCUUGUUAUCACUCUAGCGGUCACAUUUUUGGCUCAAUCAUCAUCAAACUUGGUCAGGAUGCUUGUCUAGGUAAUAGCUUGGAUGAGUUCGAGCAUUGGUCAUCUCGGAUGAAAAACUAGAUCACCGGAGCUAAAAAUAGAAAAACCUUUUUAACACUCUAGCGGUCACAUUUUUGCCUCAAUCAUCAUAACACUUGGUCAGGAUGCUAGUCUAGGUGAUAGCUCGGAUGAGUUCGAACAUAGGUCAUCUGGGAUGAAACACUAGGUCACUGAAGAUAAAAAUAGAAAAACUUUGUUAACACUCUUGCGGUCACAUAUCAUCAAACUUGGUCAGGAUGCUUGUUUGGUGAUAGCUCGGAUGAGUUUGAAAACAUGGGUCAUCUCGGAUGAAAAACUAGGUCACCGGAGCUAAAAAUAGUAAAAACCUUGUUAACACUCUAGCGGUCACAUUUUUGCCGCAAUCAUCAUCAAACUUGGUCAGGAUGCUUGUCUAUGUGAUAGCUCGGAUGAGUUCGAACAUGGGUCAUCUGGGGUGAAAAACUAGGUCACUGAAGAUAAAAAUAGAAAAUUUUUGUUAACACUCUAGCGGUCACAUAUCAUCAAACUUGGUCAGGAUGCUUGUCUUGGUGAUAGCUCGGAUGAGUUUGAACAUGGGAUAUCUUGGAUGAAAAACUAUGUCACCGGAGUUAAAAAUAGAUAAACCUUGUUAAGAUUCUAGGGGUCACAUUUUUGACUCAAGUGUCUUCAAACUUGGUCAGGAUGCUUGUCUAGGUAAUUGCUGGGAUAAUUUCGAACAUGGGUCAUCUCGGAUGAAAAACUAGAUCACCGGAGCUAAAAAUGUAAAAUCUUGUUAACACUCUAGUGUCCAAAUAUCCUGUAAAUUGGUCUGAAUGUUUGUUUUGAUUAUUUCUAGGUCAAGUUAAAAUAUGGGUCAUCUGGGGUCAAAAACUAGGUCACACUACCCAAAUAUACAAAAAAAACCUUGUUCACAUUCUAGUGGUCACAUUUUUUACUCAAUUAUGAU